rnacentral:rRNA from 1 species
GACGAACGCUGGCGGCGCGCUUAACACAUGCAAGUCGAACGGAAAGGCCUGCUUUCCCUUGUGGAUUGCGGGUACUCGAGUGGCGAACGGGUGAGUAACACGUGAGUGAUCUGCCCCCAACUUGGGUAUAAGCCUGGGAAACUGGGUCUAAUUCCCGAUAGGACUGCAGGGUGGUGCCUGUGGUGGAAAACGAUUUUCUAGUGGUUGGGGAUGAGCUCGCGGCCUAUCAGCUUGUUGGUGGGGUAAUGGCCUACCAAGGCGGCGACGGGUAACCGGCCUGAGAGGGUGGACGGCCACAUUGGGACUGAGAUACGGCCCAGACUCCUACGGGAGGCAGCAGUGGGGAAUAUUGCACAAUGGGCGGAAGCCUGAUGCAGCGACGCCGCGUGGGGGAUGACGGCCUUCGGGUUGUAAACUCCUUUCGACCGCGAGGAAGCCACCUGGUUGGAAGGGUGGUGACGGUAGUGGUAGAAGAAGCACCGGCUAACUACGUG